rnacentral:lncRNA from 1 species
AUUAUAAGCAAAAGUUAUGGUAUCCCGAUAGCAAAUAUCAUAUAAUCAACAGUUUACCCAUAUGCCCGGAGGUAAAAAAUGAAAAGCUUUUAGAUUUUGUGAAUUUCAAAUCCAUCGUCGUGCCCCUAAUUCAAAAUUUUGAGAUUUUCAGAAUUUUAUUUCUUAAUUUGUUUUAAGAUUUAGCUAUUGCAAUGAGUGGUUAAAAUAAAAGGUUUAUAAGAUGAUACUGGGGGAAAAUCCCUGAAGUUACAAAAUUCUACUAACUUUAAACUUCCAUUUUUAUGAUAUGGGAGAUUUGCAAAAGCUGAGACAUGCUGACUAAAAUUCUGAAUGACAGCCUACUCCACAGUUCUAGUCUUUGCUCUUCACGCUAUGAUUAAAGUUGAUUUUAAGA